UGGGAGUUGAUGAUGGACAGAAAGGCCUGGUGUGCUGUGAUUCAUGGGGUCGCAAAGAGUUGGACACGACUGAAUUGAACUGAACUGAACUGAAUAAUUAGCAAUGUUGAGCAUCUUUUUAUGUGCCUCUUGGCCAUCUGUAUGUCUUUUUUCCCCCUUGCUGCACAGCUUGCUGGAUCUUAGUUCCUUGAUGAAGGACUGAACCUGUGCCCUUGGCAGUGGAAGUGCGGAGUCCUAACCACUGAACCACCAGAGAAUUUACUGUAUGUCUUCUUAAUAAGAGCACAGGCUCAGUAGUUGUGGUGCCUGGGCUUCACUGCUCCACGGCAUGUAGGAUCUUCCUGGACCAGGGACUGAACCCACGUCUCCUCUUACUGACAGGUCAAGAAGCAACAGUUAGAACUGGACAUGGAACAACAGACUGGUUCCAAAUUGGGAAAGGAG
ensembl:lncRNA